UGCUAAUACAUGCAGUCGAGCGAAUGGAUUAGAGCUUGCUCUUAUGAAGUUAGCGGCGGACGGGUGAGUAACACGUGGGUAACCUGCCCAUAAGACUGGGAUAACUCCGGGAAACCGGGGCUAAUACCGGAUAACAUUUUGAACCGCAUGGUUCGAAAUUGAAAGGCGGCUUCGGCUGUCACUUAUGGAUGGACCCGCGUCGCAUUAGCUAGUUGGUGAGGUAACGGCUCACCAAGGCAACGAUGCGUAGCCGACCUGAGAGGGUGAUCGGCCACACUGGGACUGAGACACGGCCCAGACUCCUACGGGAGGCAGCAGUAGGGAAUCUUCCGCAAUGGACGAAAGUCUGACGGAGCAACGCCGCGUGAGUGAUGAAGGCUUUCGGGUCGUAAAACUCUGUUGUUAGGGAAGAACAAGUGCUAGUUGAAUAAGCUGGCACCUUGACGGUACCUAACCAGAAAGCCACGGCUAACUACGUGCCAGCAGCCGCGGUAAUACGUAGGUGGCAAGCGUUAUCCGGAAUUAUUGGGCGUAAAGCGCGCGCAGGUGGUUUCUUAAGUCUGAUGUGAAAGCCCACGGCUCAACCGUGGAGGGUCAUUGGAAACUGGGAGACUUGAGUGCAGAAGAGGAAAGUGGAAUUCCAUGUGUAGCGGUGAAAUGCGUAGAGAUAUGGAGGAACACCAGUGGCGAAGGCGACUUUCUGGUCUGUAACUGACACUGAGGCGCG
rnacentral:rRNA from 1 species